AGGAAAUGAACGUACCUUGACGGUACCUUAUUAGAAAGCCACGGCUAACUACGUGCCAGCAGCCGCGGUAAUACGUAGGUGGCAAGCGUUGUCCGGAUUUAUUGGGCGUAAAGCGCGCGCAGGUGGUUUCUUAAGUCUGAUGUGAAAGCCCACGGCUCAACCGUGGAGGGUCAUUGGAAACUGGGGAACUUGAGUGCAGAAGAGGAUAGUGGAAUUCCAAGUGUAGCGGUGAAAUGCGUAGAGAUUUGGAGGAACACCAGUGGCGAAGGCGACUGUCUGGUCUGUAACUGACACUGAGGCGCGAAAGCGUGGGGAGCAAACAGGAUUAGAUACCCUGGUAGUCCACGCCGUAAACGAUGAGUGCUAAGUGUUAGGGGGUUUCCGCCCCUUAGUGCUGCAGCUAACGCAUUAAGCACUCCGCCUGGGGAGUACGGUCGCAAGACUGAAACUCAAAGGAAUUGACGG
rnacentral:rRNA from 1 species